CUCACUCACACACACACACACACAUGCACUCACACACUCUAACACUCUCUCACACACUCACACACACACACACACACACACACACACUCGCACACACGCACUCGCACACACGCCACAUCACCAUAGCCUUUUCAUAUUCAUUAACUUUUAAAUGAACACCCAUAUUUAGUAAUUAACUGCCGACAGCAUUUGAGACACAAACACAAGCGCUUGAGUCAGUCUGUGCUGUAAAACAUGAUGGUGUUUCUGCGGGAGGAGAGUGUGUUGUGUUGAGAUUAAAGGCGAGGGUUAUGAGCUGGUAACACAACAGAAGGACACGCAUGGAGUCGUUUUACUGACGAAACUCAGAAAUCUGCAACAAAAAAUAAGAAAACACGCUUUCAUUCGUCCUCCUGCUCCUCGAGGUGUGCGGACGAGGCCGGAGAUAUGACCUUUGACCUUUGGUCUGAAGGAGCGAGGAUGCAGAUCCGGCUCCCUGCAGUCACGUCUGCGCUGAAUCUCUUUUGACAGCGGAUGUUAAUGGUAGCUUUGCUUUCUUCAGCUGUGUGUCAUUGGCUUAUGUAAUGUGGUUGUUUUCUCUGAAGCGUAAGACUAAUUGCCCUGUUGGUAUCGGCGCAAAACUGCGUUUGUGCAUUACUAGAGCUCUAUGAAAU